GGCCCUAUAGUUCAACGGAUAGAACGAGCGUUUCCUAAACGCUAAAUCCAAGUUCGAUUCUUGGUGGGGCCACGA
rnacentral:tRNA from 1 species